rnacentral:tmRNA from 1 species
GGGGGUGCCAAGGUUUCGACGGGGGUUGGAAGCGAAGGUGGCAUGCCGGAGUGGGCAGGCUCCGUUAAAAAGCCCAAUACUAAUAAACGCCGAUACUGACGUUAAUUACGCAAUAGCAGCUUAAUGCUGCUACGUCCUGUUUGUCAUUGCCUGUGUGGUAUUCAGGACGUUAAUUGCAGCAGGCUAGUUUCAGAGACCGUCUGCGGCUCUGAAGCGAAUCUAAGCAGACUCGCCCGUUAAAUAUCCUGUCUGUGGGAGCUUUAUCGGGUUAACUAAAACAUAGACUACGCAUGUAGAAGCCUUACGUGAAAGAUUUUCGGACGCGGGUUCGAUUCCCGCCACCUCCACCA